GGUUACACACAUGUUGAUAUAGAUGCGAUUUGGUAUGCAUGCCAUUUUUUGAAGCUUCAAACUUCCCAUGUCAGAUCUUCUGAAGGUGUUAACCUCAUAGAUAUUUUUAUGCUUAAAAAUGCCGGAUUUCGUGCCAAACAAAGAGCAUUUGCGGGGAGUUUUAAUUCAUUGCUUUAUUUGGAAGAAAAAGUGAUUGU